rnacentral:rRNA from 1 species
UACGUAGGUGGCAAGCGUUGUCCGGAAUCAUUGGGCGUAAAGCGCGCGUAGGCGGCUUGUCAGGUCUGAUGUGAAAUCUUGGGGCUCAACCCCAAGCGUGCAUCGGAAACCGGCUCGCUAGAGUCUGGAAGAGGAGAGUGGAAUUCCUGGUGUAGCGGUGAAAUGCGUAGAUAUCAGGAGGAACACCAGUUGCGAAGGCGGCUCUCUGGUACAGUACUGACGCUGAGGCGCGAAAGCUAGGGGAGCGAACAGG